AACGAACGCUGGCGGCAUGCCUAACACAUGCAAGUCGAACGAAACCAAGGCUUCGGCCUGAAGUUUAGUGGCGCACGGUGCGUAACGCGUGGGAAUCUGCCCUUGGGUUCGGAAUAACUCAGAGAAAUUUGAGCUAAUACCGGAUGAUGACGUAAGUCCAAAGAUUUAUCGCCCAAGGAUGAGCCCGCGUAAGAUUAGCUUGUUGGUGAGGUAAAGGCUCACCAAGGCGACGAUCUUUAGCUGGUCUGAGAGGAUGAUCAGCCACACUGGGACUGAGACACGGCCCAGGACUCCUACGGGAGGCAGCAGUGGGGAAUAUUGGACAAUGGGCGAAAGCCUGAUCCAGCAAUGCCGCGUGAGUGAUGAAGGCCUUA
rnacentral:rRNA from 1 species